GCUCACUGCAACCUCUGCCUCCCGGGUUCAAGCCAUUCUCCUGCCUCAGCCUCCUGAGUAGCUGGGAUUACAGGCACACACCAAUACGCCCAGCUAAUUUUUGUAUUUUUGUAGAGAUGGGGUUUCACCAUGUUGGCCAGGCUGGUCUCAAACUCCUGACCUCAGGUGAUCCGCCCGCCUCAGCCUCCCAAAGUGCUGGGAUUACAGGCAUGAGCCACCGUGCCCGGCCAAGCCCCUCUUUAGUUUCUGUGGGGACCCCUCAUUCAGCCACAGACUGGCCCCUUCGAUGGCCACUUCAUUCUUCCAUGUGCGUUUUUCCUUGUUCUCAAGUUGUCUCCUCAGCUUGAGUGUGAAAAACAUUUCAUACUUUUUAGUGUCAUCCUUAGGAUAAGUCUCAUAUCUGUGCACUUUCAUAUUGAUCAAAAAAAUCACAAGAGGAUAACAAUGGACAACUCUAAAACCUCCUCUUUCUCUAUUUCAUGUCAGACAACCCCAGCUCCCUUAGCUUUGCUUCCAGCUCCUUUUUCCUGAUGCUUUAAUCAUUGCUGUUCCUCUCUUAAUGUGCAUCAUGCGCACUAUAGUUCUCUAAAAUCAGGCCACUUUAAGCCAUCCACAGGAUUUUAUGGAAUACUAAUCAGUGUCAUGUUCCCGUCAACAUGCGAUCAGAUUUUGAGAGCAGUGAACAGGGUGUCCUCUGAGGGCCUGGGGUAAUACCCCCAUUCUGAAUCACAGAGGCCAGCCCCGUGGGGUCAGAGGAUUGGCCUGGCUAGCCUUGUGGAGCCUGUGUUCUCCAAACAGACAUUUAAUUACUGUCCCCAAUGAGUACCCUGAUCACAAUACUUAUUGCUCCAAUGGGGUCUGUGGGUGGGGAUUGCAAAGGGGAAGGUUGCCCUGCUUAGCUCAAGGGGAGCAUCUCCUGAGAAAGCUGAUUCCGACAGAAGUGCAGUCAACUCAGCAAGCCUCUUCCUUCUGUCCUGUUCCUAAAACCAUCUGCUCAUUGCAGGAAGCAACUCCAUUCCAUCGGCCAUACUGAUGGCAUUAGGUUCUCCUAAAACAUCUGGGUUUUCCUUGUGGGAGAAAAUCCUGCAGUGAAUUUAGAUGUUGGUGAUCCUCUAAGCGAGGACCUCAUUGAGUCUAGGAGGGGAAAUUAUAAGUGUCAAAUUACAAGUGUGCAAAUUAUACAAGUGCACCCCUGCUUGGCCUUGCAGGGCACCACCGGCCAGCUCCCCCCUCUCCAAUUUUUCUUCUGUUGCCGUGAUGGUGAAUGUUAGUUGUCAACUUGAUUGGAUGGAAGGAUGCCUAGAUAGCUGGUAAAGUGUGAUUUCUGGGUGUGUCUGUGAGGGUGCUGCCAGAGGAGACUGACGUUUGAGUCAGUGGACUGGGAGAGGAAGACCCAUCCUCAGUGUGGGUGGGCACCAUCCCAUCGGCUGCCAGUGCAGGCAGAACAAAGCAGGCAGAAGAAGGUAAGAUAAGCUUACUCGCUGGUUCUUCUGGCUUCUUGCUUUAUCCUGUGCUGGAUGCUUCUUUCAGCUUCUCCUGCCCUUGGACAUCAGACUCCCGGUUCCUCCGCCUUUGGACUCUGGCACUUAUGCCAGUGGUUUGCCGGGGGCUCUCCAGCCUUUGGCCACAGUCUGAAGGCUGCAUUGUCGGCUUCCCUGGUUUUGAGGCUUUUGGACUUGGACUGAGCCACUACCGGCUUCUCUCUUCCCGAGCUUGCAGAUGGCCUAUGGUGGGACUUCACCUCGUGAGCAUGUGAGACAAUUCUCCCUAAUAAGCUCCGUUUCAUAUACACAUACAUCCCACAGAUCUGUCCCUCUGGAGAUUCCUGACCAAUACGGUUGCCCACCCUUCUUUGUCCCUUCUUUGCCACGUUCACUUCUACGUGGCCUCACAGAACCCACGUGGCCUUGCCUUUCUGGAAUCGCGGUCUCCUCCACGUGGAGAUGCGUCACCUGUAGCUGAUGGAUAACCACUUGGAAAUGCAGCUGCCCCGGACGGGAAGGGGUUGUGCAUUUCUCAUAUUGUUCUUGGCUAGACCUGGAGAAAUUUUGCUUCCUGGACAACUUAGUCAUGUUUUAUGAAGAUCAUUUGUCAGUGGCUAGAAAAUUGGACAUGUAUGAUAUAUGGCUGGGGAGGACUAAUGGGCUCUUCCUUCAACACUCUGUCAAAGUCGGGCCAGUGCCCAUGGUGGAACGUGCUUUAGUAAGAUGAGAGAAGGUGUUUUCAUGAUUAACAAGGCAUGACAUUCGUAUUUCAAAGAUCCCAUGACAUAUCAAAACAGUCUGCUACCGUGUAUUUGUUUGGUGGCAUGGACAUGGGACACAUGGUAUUUUCUCAGGGACCCUUCGGCUCUGGACCUGUGCUGUGCAGGCAUCUGCCUGUACACACUGCCCCUCUUAACCUGAGCAUAACAAACACUCAAUGUAAGAUCAGGUUUGAGGCUGGGAGUGCUGGCACACCUCUGUGUGUGUGCUUACAUAACAAACACUCAAUGUAAGAUCAGGUUUGAGGCUGGGACUGGUGGCACACCUCUGUGUGUGUGCUUACAUAACAAACACUCAGUGUAAGAUCAGGUUUGAGGCUGGGAGUGGUGGCACACCUCUGUGUGUGUGCUUACAUAACAAACACUCAGUGUAAGAUCAGGUUUGAGGCUGGGAGUGGUGGCACACCUCUGUGUGUGUGCUUACAUAACAAACACUCAGUGUAAGAUCAGGUUUGAGGCUGGGAGUGGUGGCACUCCUCUGUGUGUGUGCUUACAUAACAAACACUCAGUGUAAGAUCAGGUUUGAGGCUGGGAGUGGUGGCACACCUCUGUGUGUGUGCUUACAUAACAAACACUCAGUGUAAGAUCAGGUUUGAGGCUGGGAGUGGUGGCACACCACUGUGUGUGUGCUUACAUAACAAACACUCAGUGUAAGAUCAGGUUUGAGGCUGGGACUGGUGGCACACCUCUGUGUGUGUGCUUACAUAACAAACAGUGUAAGAUCAGGUUUGAGGCUGGGACUGGUGGCACACCUCUGUGUGUGUGCUUACAUAACAAACACUCAGUGUAAGAUUAGGUUUGAGGCUGGGACUGGUGGCACACGCCUGCGGUCCCAGCUACUCCAGAGGCUGAGGCGGGAGGAUGCUUAAGCUCAGGAGGUCAAGGCUGCACUGAGCCAUGAUCGCACCACUGCACUCCAGCCCGGGUGAUAGAGUGAGACUCUGUCUAAAAAACAAAACCAAAAAAACGUAAGAUCGAAUUUGACUCCACCGUUUGUCCCUCUGACACAUAAUCUAAGAUGUCAGAGGUAUUUGUGUCAAAGAAGGCAAGUGGGAGAGACUGGGCCUGAGGUGAUGCUGUGUUCCUUCUUUGAUGACAUCAUUAAUGAGGAGAGGUGAGGGUACUUCAUAGAGCGCAGAAGAAACUCAAGGACCAGCUCUCUCGGGCUGCCCCUGUAAUAUGGCCCACUGAGGGCAGGUUCCUGGCUGCCCUUGGAACAGUGCUGCGGUCAUCAGAUGGUAUGAAAGACAAAUGCCUUUGUGCCCUCAAAGGCAACCACUAUAUAUGGGAGGUGCUGUCCCCCCUUCUGCCACUCAUCAGCUCAUGGUAAACAGAGGCCACUUAGGCACCACUCAAGGCAUUGACCAGUCUAAGUCCUAAUUAUAGGGUCCUACUUAUAGCCAUUAUGAACCUCAAAGCCAAACAACGAUGAAUUUUGUCAAAGGACUCCUCCUGGCUUCAGUUGAACAGAAUCAUCAGACUAGGAAGCCAUUAAUGACCUUCGUGAGUUUCCAGAUCUUCAUUCUCAUGGCUCUAAUCAGAGAUUUGGUCUGAGGUGAUAGUGUUAUAGGGCCCUGAUGCAAAAAGCCCAGUGCAGAUUGGCUCACCUGCUGCUGCAUCUUGAUUGUCCAUGGGUGGGGUCUACUCCUGAGGUCUUGGGAUUGAAAAAGUUCACACGGACUGUAAAUCCUGCCAUUGCUACCGAUGACACUUGUACUUGUUGCGGUGUGUCCAUUGUAGUGGGAAGAGCUCUGCUCUUAGAGUGUUAUACAGCCUAUAGGGUUUGGAUUCUUCACAUUUGGUUGGUUGACUUUGAGUCUCAGCACUUUCAAUUGUAAGGUGGGGACAGUACAAACUUACAGAAGUUAUUGUGAAUACACAACCAUCCAAGUAAUUACACCUGCAGAGCUGACUAGUUUACUUUCUUGCUUGCUGUCUGGUAAAACUCUUGCCAAUCAUAGACAAACGAUCAAUGCAUAAGGUAACCUCAUUUGAGAGUUCAAGUUCUGAACAGAAGAAAAGGAUCUCAUUCCUGUUAUGAACAGCUUAGUUAUAAAGUCAAAUGUAAAAUCAAAUAUGUGUUUCUGUGGCAAAUGGUUAAAUUCUUACCUUUUACAAAACAUUCAAUAGUCACAAGGUCUUUACACACUCACUGCUUAUCCAUAUUUAUAUAUGGUGUGCCUGUUAGGUAAGACAUACACACUUUGGUUAGUUACUUGAAUAGAUCAUAAAAUUAAGUCUAGGACUAUGUUUUCUGCUUUAUUUAAAUUUUCUCAUCCAAGGAAAAAUUUCAUAAAGAGUGGUUGAAUGAAUGAAUGGACAUUUACUGUCUUGAAUAAAACCUUUUUAUAUAAUUUAGCUUGUUUUGCAAAAGAAUAAAACACUAGCUUCAAACUCUUUAUUUUUCAUUGAUCUUUAGGAAUCAGGGUCCCUCUUUUGAAUACACCCCUUGCUCAAGGAAAGGAACCAUUUAUGUUCUGGCCUUGAUUACUGCACAAUGGCUUUUACUACAUUUGAUUUGCAGCAAUUCAUUUGUGAUUAAAUUUUCUAAUUCUCCCAGAAAGUCAUUGAACAAGCAAACAGUUUACUUUCCCCAAUAAAACAAAGCCUAAAGUAUUUGGUCUUUAAUAAAUGUUCAAAAAUUAUUUUCUCAGUGUGUGUUCGAGAUAUAAAUAUCCCUUCAUCUCAACCCUCUUUUGAAUAUUUGACCAAUCUACCUUUAUAGAGUAGUUGUUUCUCCUUAUGUCAUUUCUGAUCUUUCUUGAAUUCUUCUUUGCUUAGUUUUUAAUCGAGCCAAAUGUUUGUUUAAUCAGAUACCUCAAUUAGUCAAGACCUGUCUCUUUUAUCAGAAGGUGAAUUUAGAGAACAAUUCUAAAACAUAGGGUAAUACAAAUUUUUUAAAAGAAAACCAAAUUCUAAGCUCAGCUUGGUCCCAGGGCAAAUUCACUCCCCAUUCUUAAUUAUUCUUCUCCAUUUCUGGUCACGGGAGGGGCACCCCCAAAAUGCUGACCCUAGGACUCCCCAAGAUCCUCCAGCAUCCAAAAGUCCUCUCUUCUCCAGUCUUUACUUUCUAUGGGAACAGGUUGAAACCCCUGGGAAUGAAUAUAUUCUCAACUAAAAAUACAAAUUAAAAGAAUUUCUUGCUUAGACUAUCAGAAACUUGAUCUAGUGCACAUAUUUCCCAAGCAUUUCAUUUACUAGAUCUGAUUAAGACACUCUGUUAUUGUAUCAUUUAAAUUUUUAAAUUUUAUUAGUUAAAUUUUAAAUACAAGUUUUAAAGGAUGGUUACAAAUUAGUAACUCAAAAUAAUUGAGUGGAAAGAUCAAGGUACAAGACACUCUGCCUUUACCUUCAAAGUCUGAGCAAAUAUGAUUUUAUAUCUUUUUAAUCAGAGAUUCUUUUAAAGACCAAGUUACUGCAGUCCUGUCUUGUUCUUCUCCUAUUUUAUAUUGAUGUGCUCAGUACCUUGGUGUCUUUUUCUGUCUUUUAGGGGGAAGGGAAUCCACGUUUUGGACUAGAGUAGCACAGAUGCCAUUCUUACCUCACUGUAGGUUUCUUUAAAGAAUGUUUAGUCCUGACAAUGCGAUGCAGAUUUCUUUCUCUCCCCACUCUAUCUUUUGCAGAGCUUUAUCCUUUUUUCAUUGUUCAGCAUAACUGGGAACCUGCCAGCUCGCCACAAUGAAACAUAAUGAUUUUUGCAAAGUGUGUGUCAAAUGUCCUGAGCUUAGAAGAGAUUCAUCGUAGAGACUGCUGCUUAAUGAGUGUAAAUUAACUGAUCAUUUGCUAAAUCUGAUGUGCCCAGUGGUGUGGACGGGAGAAUGCUGGAUAGGAUGUAGGAGAUGCAGGUGAGCAGACGGGUAGCAGAGACACAUACCGUGUUUCUGAGCGAGGACUGUAGCAUGGCCAGAAGGCUGUUCUGAUGUAGAGAGGGAUUUUCCGCUCACGGUAGGACCCAGUACCAUGAGACUGAGGACUGAAACACAAGGUUAACACAGAUCUCCCGAACAGUCCGCUUUAGGGCUGGAGCCUGCUGGGAUCAGUCCUCUUGAGAAGAACAACAAUCUGGUUGAGAUUGAACUUGCCAAAGACAAUGAGACUAAACAAGAGACGCCUGCUGGUAAACAUCAGGGCUGUUGUGUGGAAGCUGAGGGAGGAAGAAGACACAAAAGCUGUGCAUGAUGAUAAGGCUAGUGGGUCUAGUGUUACCAGCACCGCAGAUGUACAGCUCCUCCUAGAGGCAGGGCACAUUCAGAAUAAGCAACAGGGAGCUGCAUGUCAUGUAGUCAAGCAACUGUAUAUUUCUUCUUCAUUCAUUUCUGGGACAUACAUAUGAAAUAUCUUCAGCUUCAUAUCUGAGAUGGCAGGAACAUGACAACAUAUUAGCUUUUAGGUAGACACCCGUAGGUCUUAGGAUGUGGUGGAAAAUUGGGUGUCAUUUUUUCCAGAUAAUCACUGGCAUUUUUAUAAAACAUGAAGCCCUUCCUAAAGUCUGUGCUUCCCAGAUAGUAGUGAGGAGAAAUAGGCUUGUGGAGACCAUAAGGGUUUAUUUUGGAGUGGGUCUUGUGAAUUUGACAGUUUAAUAGUCACGUGGACGCACAGUGUUGUUUGCAGGAGGGGCCAUGAACCCCUGCCCUGAAUGAAAGGGAAAUACUUAUGUCCAUGGUAACCAGGGCCGGUGGCAGCCAGGAAGCCAAGACCUGGCCUCCGCUGCCACUGCUCAUACAAACCAACUAAACAUGUGUACAUCACAUAUGGGAUAUAGGAGAAGCACAUCUGAAGGGCUAUGGCAGAAGUGGAAAGAAGGCAAAACUCUUCCACACAGGCAACCCGUGCUUUCCAGACAAAUCUCACAACAUCAAACUGCAAGUAUUCAUGCCACCCCCUACCCCUGCCAACUAGAACUGGCUGUCUGUGUCAGGUCGUCAUCUUAUCUUAGAACACAUCCAUUGAUACAUACACUGUUUCUUCUUCCCUAUUACCUCUGAUUCUGCUUCUCUAAAAUAAAAGCUGACCGACUGGUUGGAAUAAUAAUACAUAUACCACCUGGCAUUUUACAGUUUUACAUCAUCUCAGGUGAUACAACCAGGCUAUGAUGCAGUCAUGUCACCAUACUCUUUACCAGAUGAGAUGCAAACUCAGAAAUAUUAGGAAAUGUAGCUGUGAUGGAUUGGGCUAUAAUCAACUUGUGAUGUGGGAGUUUCUCAGAAUCUCUUUCCCUAUAUACAUAUGGUUCCGAGCUAGAGCUGGCCACAGUGAAGCCAUGAGACCUGGGAGGUGAAUGAAGGAGGGGCCGUUAUGCUCUGGAGGUUUUCAUCGUGUAACUGAACACAGGUCCGGAUGCUCACCGCCUGCAGAAUCCAGUUAACAAGAAUGAGUUCUGGUAGAAAGAAAGUGACUUUAUUCACUAAAACUAAUAAAGAACAAGUGGCCGGGUUCCCAUCCAAAGCAACCACUUCAGUUUGGCAGAGAGGAAGACAGGGGUUUAAAAAAGGAGAACUUGAUGUGAAAAGCUUGCAAGAAUUGUGCUGAGUACAACGUCUGUGUACCUUGUUCUGGUGGCUAUCUUGGGUCCCAGUUUACCUGGAUCUCGGGCUGGUGUCAUCUCAACAAUGGUGAGGCUGUUGACUCGCCACCUUGAAGUCAUCUCUGGAACUUUGCAGGUGGGUCUCCAGACUUGGUUCAUCUGUCUCAAGAUUACCCCCAGGAGCUUCUAAAAAGGGACAUAAUUAGAUGCUAGCAUACAGGUAGAUGAAUGUGAAGGGAGUAUAGAUGGUGAGAAAGGGAGGGAUGUGGAGUUCAUUUUAAGACAAAGAGGGAAAGGCUUCUGCAGUUUGCUUCAAGGUUAUAUCUUGAAACGCACGAGAAAUAAGUAAAAAGUUUAAAAUUCAUUUUGCAGUUAAACUGCCCAGUUACAAUUGGUCAGAAGUGGUGAGAGACACAGUGGAGCUGACACAGGGUGCAAGUUUGUCUUCACUCUUCCUUACCCCUGUCUUUAUUUCCCGAUUUCCAGCCCUGCUGACUUGCAGUGAGUCCAGGGCCACCAUGCGAUGCUGCACCCCACUCGACAGACCUUUACUUCCAUAGCACCUCACACCAUUCCUGUAAAAGGUUGUUACUGUAUAAUAUUCCAAAUAUUGAGAGUUUCACUCUCAAGUUUGAACUCUGACUGACACAUUACCUGUGGUCUCCAGGUGGGAGGUGAUGUGUUUUUUACACUUUAUAAUUUUUUUUUAUUUUUAUCACUCACUAUACUUGACUGUGUUAUGAUUUCUAUAUUCGUCAUUCUUCCUGCAUCAUUUUCUCUCUCUCUUUUUUUUUUUUUUCUGAGACAGAGUCUCGCUCUGUCACCCAGGCUGGAGUGCCGUGGUGCGAUCUCAGCUCACUGCAAGCUCCCCAUCAUGGGUUCACGCCAUUCUCCCGCUUCAGCCUCCUGAGUAGCUGGGAAUACAGGUGUCUGCCACCAUGCCCAGCUAAUUUUUUGUAUUUUUAGUAGAGACGGGGUUUCACCAUGUUAGCCAGGAUGGUCUUGAUCUCCUGACCUCGUGAUCCGCCCGCCUCAGCCUCCCAAAGUGCUGGGAUUACAGGCUUGAGCCACCGCGCCCGGCCAUCUAUGUUCAUUUUCAAAGGGGUCUUCCUUAAUGAUAGUGCCCUUGAACCAAAAAUUAAAGAGUUGAUUAAAGUAGUAGAAAAUGGUCAUCUAUACAAGUUUCAUGAUUUAUAAGAACUAUGGAAAUUGCUCCUUAGAAAAUAGCUUUCUAAACAUGAAAAUACACUUGAUUAGAAACAGUACACAUGAGGAACUCUGGUUUCAUGCAAAGUUGAAGGAAAUUCUUGUGAAAUUAAAAAUGCACCCAGAACAGUUGAUGAAGUCUAGUCCAACGAAAGGGUUUUCAACUCUGUUUGAUUUCCAUCUUGUCAAAGAAUCAACUUUUGGUUUUGGUGAAUGAAAUGGUUUGGCUGUUUCCCCACCCAGAUCUCACUUUGAAUUGUAAUAAUCCCCACAGGUCAAGGGCAGGACCAGGUGGAGACAAUUGAAUCCUGGGGCUGGUUUCCCCCAUGCUGUUCUUGUGACAAUGAGUUCUCAGGAGAUCUGAUGGUUUUCUAAGGGGCUUUCCCCUUUGCUCGACUCUCAUUCCCUCUCCUGCUGCUCUGUGAAGGGGCGCCUUCCUCCAUAACUGUAAGUUUCCUGAGUCCCUCCCAGCCAUGUGGAACUGUGAGUCUGUUAAACCCGUUUUCUUUAUAAAUUAACCAGUCUCAGGUAUUUCUUCAUAGCAGCAUGAGAACGGACUAAUCCGGUAAUAUUCUCCACUGUUUUUCUGUUCUCUAUGUUAUUUAGUUCUGCUCUAUUAUUUAUUGUUUCCUUCCUUCUGCUUGCUUUGGGUUUAGCUUGCUCUUCUUUUGCUAGUUUCGUAAGGCAGAGUGUAGUUUGUGGAUUCGAGAUCUUUCUUCUUUCUUAAUAUAAAUGUUUAUGGCUAUAAUUUUCCUUCCAAUUACUCUUUUUAUUGCAUUCCCUAAGUUCUGCUAUGUUGUGUGGUAUUUUUGUUUUUACUCAGCUCAAAGUAUUUUUGUGUUUCCCUUGUGGUUUCCUCCUUAAUACUUUGGUAAUUUAUCAGGGUGUUUAAUUUCCAAAUAUUCUUGUGUAUUUUCCAGUUUUCCAUCUGUUAUUGAUUUCUAAAUUCAUUCUGUUGUGAUCAGAAAAGACACUUUGUGUGAGUUGAUUUCAACCUUUUAAAAAUUAUGAAGACUUGUUUUGUGACCUCACAUACAGUCUAUUUUAGAGAAUGUUUCAGGUGCAUUGGGGGAACAUGUGUAUUCUGCUGGGCUUGGCGGAGUCUAAUAAUCCCUAAUAUACCUCGCUUCUAAUGUAGGUGUUCCCGCCAGAGCAUGCCAGUGUCACGUCAACAAUAACAAACAAAAAUUCAUUGUUUUCUUUUUCUAAAGCCAUAUUGUAGAUUCCAAGCUCAACUAUAAUAUAUAUUAUUUUAGCUAUCUAUUUAAAGUGUCACAUCAUCCUAGGGACCUUUCAACGGACUGACUACAUUUCUCACAAUUAUAGUAAUUACUGAAAAUAAACACAUGAGACUAUUCUCUUCAACUAAAAUAUUAUCUUAUUUUACAUUUAGUACAAUUGAGAAAUUUGCAUGUAAAGCUAAGGAAGGACACAGCUUUAGAAACAAUGGACUCAUUUCUCUCCAGACCUAUGUGAAAGUUGGUUUGACAGUAAUUACCUUAUGGGAGCCCAGAGGUAUAAAAUAAGGGUGAGGAAUGAUUGUUCCCAUCACAGACGGAUCACCACAUCAUCCCUUGUGCAUUUGCAUUUCGUGUACUGAUCAGAGGUGGCAUGGUGUGGAGGGGCGGCAGUGGUGAUGUGGAAAUGUAAAGAAUUUCGGGUACUGAGGAUCCAGUUAAAAAUCACACUGGAAAGAGAACCAAAUAUAGUCAAGGAAAGAAGAAGUGGCCUACAAACCUGUGAUAUGAUCUUGAAAUGACUUAUUUUAACAAACAUACCUCCCAUCUAUUAUAUAAAAUAAACCUAAGUUACUAGAAAGAGAUGGGGGUUAAAUUCCCUAUCACUUACUAGCUGAGUGACUUUGAGCCUGUUUCCUAGUCUCUGUGAGCUUGUGUUUCUUCAUGUGGGUAAUAGAAGUCAUAAUAAUACUCACUUGAGCAAUUUGCUGUAAUAAUUGGCAACAGUAUCUUGAAGCACAGAUUAUAAUGUCCAGUAUGUAAUAGCCCUCUUGUAUGUAGCUGUAUUCUUACUACUGUCCAUAGUUCUUUAGGUUAUUAGACUGACUUAUGAACUUUGAGUGCUGGUCAUCAGACCUACUUCACAUGGAGCCUCGAGACCCCUCCCUCGAAUUAUCAGACCCUUCCCCCUCUGGCCAUCAUCCUCCUCCCUCUGAUCAUCACUGUGCUCCCUUUGACCAUCACCCUCUUCCCUCUGGCGUCAGACUCUCCUCCCUCUGCCCAUCCUCCUCCUCCCUCUGACCAUCAGGCCCGCCUUACUUCCUCAUACCAGCAGCCGUGGAGUGGGUCUUCAACAAGCAGCCAACAGCAGCCAGGGACAGAUCCUCAGGCACUGUUUUUCUGUCCGAAAAAUCAGAAUUGUAUCAAAGGGUCGGACACCUGGACUGGCAAGACACAUUGGGGUUAUUUAUAACGGGAAAAUGAGGUCUCCAGGGAAACAAACCAUAAUAAAGAAUAUGAACUCCCGCAGACCGAAUUGCCUUCAACGAUCCUCAAAGACUUUUGUGUUUGACCAAUAUCAAUUAAUUACAUCAGUAAAUAACUGCCUGCGCCUUGUACUUCUGUCCUCCCAAGAUCCGGAAUGACUUCUGCUUUCAAAAUGAAUUUCAGGGAUUUCUUUGAAGCAGUCUUGUAAAGUUGUUAUAUUUAGUUUAAAUUCAAUUAAAGCUCACUCUGAAAGCUCUUUCUGAAGCAUUUGAUCCACAUUUACAUGAAGGUAUUUGCUCUUAAAAUUGUUAGGGGUAUAGCUCAUUUCUAGUAAUAAUAAGUGGUAUUUCAUAAACCUGGAUACAUGAUCAUUUACUUCCUGAUAGCUUGCUUCUCCCAGAUCUAAUUCUAUUCUUCCUUGAGGGCUGUUGGUGCCAGCGCCAGGGCUGCAAACAUCAGGGUUAGACUGGAGAGUGACCCGUGUGCUCCUUCACCCCCGGGUGGGGCCUCUGUGCUUAUUAGUAGGCUAGCACCAGGUGCAGGAGACAGAUGUGCCACCUGCUCACAGGGCUUACCUGGGACAAAUGUGCCGCUCGCUCACGGGGCUUACCUGGGGACAGUUGUGCUGCCCGCUCGUGGGGCUUACCUGGGGACACUCACUAUGAUUACCUGGGACAGAUGUGCCGCCCGCUCACUAUGAUUACAUGGGACAGACAUGCUGCCCAUGCACGGGGCUUACCUGGGACAGACGUGCCACCCACUCACUAUGAUUACCUGGGACAGACAUGCUGCCCACUCACUAUGAUUACAUGGGGACAGACAUGCCGCCCACGCACGGGGCUUACCUGGGAUAGAUGUGCCACCCACUCACUAUGAUUACCUGGGGACAGAUGUGCUGUCUGCUCACAGGGCUUACCUGGGAAUGAAGUUCCACUCCUCCACUUGCUUAGUUCUUGUUUAUUUGUCUCUCCCACCAUUUCAAGUCUUUGCUGUCAUCAUGAAGAAAUAUGCAGGGUGCUGGCUGUGCAGUGAUGAGCUGGGAGAAAAUGAUCUUUGACAGAGCUGGUAGUUAAGGAAGAAUCCCUUGGCUGAAGCAGAGUGUAAGGGAUGAGAAGCCAAAUGGGUGGAGAGUGGGAGCAGGGGAGGAGGGUGAGAGCAUGAGAGGGACACUGCAUCUCCAGAGGCUGGAGAGGGGCAGGGGUGCAGCUUGUCAUGGGACAUGUAAGAGGGCCAGGGACUGAUGCAGAGAGGGACAGGAAGCAGCCUGCACCGGCACUGUGGGAGCAGGCAGAUGGGAACGUGGACAGGGAGUUAGUGUUUUCUCCUAAAUGCCAUGGAAGACAUUGAUGUGUUUUAAACAGUGCAGAUAGAAAGCAGUAAAUGGUUUCAAAAAUAUCCCAAACAAUACAAUAUAUAGAAUUUCCUGAUGGAUUUGACUUGCAAACAGAGUGGAAGAAAGAAGUAUGAUGGCAUCUAUGCUUUGUGCUUUUUGAGCAAUUGGUUGAAUAUGGACGCCAUUUUCUGUCACUGAGAAGACUCAGGGAAGGGCGGGAGGAUGGGGGUAAGUGUGCAGGGCCUGUGAAGCUGGGAGAUCCGUGAGAUGCCCAAGUGGCAACGUCAGCUCUGAGGAAAUGACACUCAGAGAAAUGGCCUGGACUCGAAAUAAAAUGUGGGAGUAGUUAGCACACAGAUUAUGUUCCGAACCUGGAAAUGAAUGACCACACCUAGGAAGAAAAAGCAGGAAAAGAGAGGAGAGGGCCCUUAGAGAUCCCAACAGAGGGGGCUGAGGUGUGUGUGUGUGGUGAGUUGGAGGACAGCCAGAAGAAAAGAUGACGUUCCAACAGCUGAGAUGCAGUCAGGGCGCAGCCCAUUGGUGUGCAGCGUGGAGGUCUUUGGAGACAUCACUAGGAACCGUUUACUAAAAUGUCACUAGGAGCAGUGCCUGUAGAAACCAGAUCAGGGCACACGAAAGGGUAAAUGGGAGAUGAGGGAGACAUGACACUCCGCUGUGUGGACUCAGAAACCUUUCUGCAAAGAGAAGCCAGGAACACAGCAGGAUGCAAACUAAGACGUGAAAACUCAUUCUUCGAAGUCCUUUCAGACUCCUACCUGCUUCUGUUUAUAUACCGCCUACAUUUCUGAAAAUCCUAGUGUAAAACAAACAUGUAUAUAUUAAAUUAUGUUCCUUUUACUUUUAUUAAAUAAAAAGUAGUCGCAUUAGAGAAGAGCAAAGCUAAGAAACAUAAUGAAAUGAUGUGUAAGGAUCCUAACAUGACCACUAAAGAGCAAUGCAUCUGAGUGUGAACGCAUCAAACGCUUCCAGGCCUGGCAGUCAAUCCACGUGCCAUGGCCUCUUACAAGGAAGUCAUCGUUCUAACACCCCAUCGGUAGGGCACAGGCUUUGGUUAUUUUAUCAGUGCACAAAAAUGAAUUCACACUGUUACUGGCUUUCUUCUGCUGGUGCACAUUCGGUGUGAUGGCUCCUUGGGCUUACGGAUGACCCCUGUGGCUAGAGGCGAGGGUGAAGAUAAUGGGUUCACAUUGCACAGAUUAAAGCAGAGACUCUAUUGUGUUCAGAAGAACCUAGAGUUAAUGGGCCACAAACAGAUCAUCUUCUGGCCUCCCUAGCAGAGCCAUCGGUUGCCUCCUGACACAGUCCAUUUCCACUUUGACACAAGUGUUUGCCAGCUUUGUGGUACCUGAUUAUUAGGGUCCUCUUAGUUCUGUGAUUGCUCCAGGAAUUCAGUGAAAAUUGUCAUCUGGAAGAACCAAAUUGCAGUUCUUAACUGGGUAGAAUUCAGGCUCUUCAAUUCUUGAUUCCAUCCAUUACGUGCUCACUGUAAGAAGUGGUACCUCCUUGGGAUACUGAAUCAGAAAGAUAUUAGAGAAAGGGCUAUUCAUGGUGUAGGGAUCUUUGGACUUGAAGGUGAAAUUUCAAACAUCUUCAAUAUUCAUUUCUGGGAGAGGUAGGAAAACUCUAGAAAUGGUCCACUUAUAAUCAUAUAUGUGAAUAGAACUUAGCAUUUUGGUUGGCUGGUUGGUUAAAUGUGUGAUUGUGAAAUAGGGCUAUCAUGAGUUGACAUAAGGGGAAAUCGACCUUUAAGUAGGGUGACCAUAUAAUUUUUUAUCCAAAUGGGGUCAUGAGAGAGGGAAGAGUGGUGCUAUUAACAUUCAUAUCGAGACAGAUGAAAACAUUCACGUCGAGACAGGGAAACCUGGAUGUGCUGUCAUCUUAUGAGGGCUUGUCAUUUGCUAGGAACAAUUUGGUGGUUGUUUUUCCUUACACAACAAGGAGAGACCAGGAGCCUGCCCUCUUGGUAGAUCAGCUAAACAUGUCCACAGGAUUUUGCUUCCAAGAUGAACAUGGGUGUAGCUUUCAGGAGUGUCCAUCGAGCAUCACAAUUCGAAACCUGAAUUUUCAGAGGCUUCUCUGUCUUGUCACCUUCCUUUGCUGCAUGCUUCAGUCUCUGCUUGAAUUUGCACCUGGAAAUGGGGUUGAAAUACAUUUGGUGCAGAACGAUAGCAUUUCAAACCUGUCUAAACAGUUUGCAGACAUUAAAAAGGAUUUGUAUGCCAAGAAGGAGGCCCCUAGCUCGUGAGGCCAGCCCCAGUUUGCCUUCCGAAUAUACUCAUUUUGCUGCCGUUAAAGACUUUCUGUGUAAUUUGAGUCAAAAUAUCCCUAUUUUCUAGUUAUACCGAUUUUCUUCACUUCUAAACCCCAAGCCACCAUAACACUUUUUUCAAAGUCUCUUUUGCUCUUCCCACCCCUUCCAGCUCCUUGGGGGAUUUCAAGAUGGGAUUGUGGAGCAUAGUUAAAUCCAUCGUAAUUACAUUCAGUCAGCUGUAUCCCCUCUUCUUCUUUGCCUUUGGGAUUUCACUACUUUAAACAAGUAUUCUCUGUUGCUGAACAAUUAAACAUAACGCUAACCUUGCAGUCAGAUUAGCCAUAAUGGAUAUGGUGUGGGCAUUUGAUACUAAGUUAUGUCAUUUUAAGCAAUUAAAUUAAUAUCUCAAAGUCAAAAAGCUAAUUCCAAUGAUUGCUGUAGACAUUUUAAGAAAAUAUUUUCCAAGAGAAAAGGGAUAUCAAAAUAUAACCAUUUUUCUUUUGCCAAGAAUAGAUUGCAUUUGUUUUAGGUACAGAUAAGAGGCAUUUUAGGUAUAGAUUAAAAUCUGUGGUGAGGAAAUGUAGUCAAGAAAAGGGCUUUACUUGCGCUGGAGAAGACUUCCCCUCAUGCACGGCCCUCACUAACUUGGAGCUGAGCUGCUUGCUGUACACGAGCUGUGCACCCAAGUGAGCCUCUGUAGUCCAGCCCAGGACUGCUAUCUGCUGUUGCCUCCGGCUUUCUGGUCAUGCUGGGGGAGUUGGGGGAAACAGGAGCAUCACACACACACACACACACACACACACACACACACACACACACACACGCACGCACACACAGCUCUUUCUGAGGAUGGGAAGGAAUCAUUAUUUCCAAUGGCGUUGUUUCCCAAUGUUGGCCAGACUGUGAUCUGUUUCUGUCCAAGAACGAAGACAGCGUUCCCUUUCUGAAGCUGUUCUCAGCUGUUCCCUCAUUUCACAAGCUGCUUUCCAGCUCUGAUGUCUGUGGUUGCUGUAGCAGCAGGCUAAGCCACACCUGACCCACAGAAGGACAUGAGGUUGGUUCUACCUCACAGAGAGAAGCUGAAAUCUUUGUUCCUAUUAACACAAAGAUAAGGGGCUCGGAAGUGUGCCUGAGCAAAUGGGACUGACAGUAGCAAUGACGGUGGAAGAAAGCCCAAGAACGUCUCCACAGAGGGAUGCCUGGCAACACAAGAGCAGGCCCACAUGGCCAGCAUCUCUGAGGCUUACCUUACCCCAAACAGGCACAGCUGGCCUCUCUGCCCCAUGCAUGACUUGCCACAUCCCUGAAAUACGAAUUGCAUGAAUUUUAUGCUGGAACAAGCUGCAGAGUGAUCAGUCACAUUCGCAGCCCUGUGGACUAUGGCUAUUGGACUGUACAAUUAAAAUUAAGUUUGACAUUAAAUCUAAAACAAAAUUUUUUGAAAAUAAAAAGGCUAGACAUGGUGGCUCACAUCUGUAAUCCCAGCACUUGGGGCAGCUGAGAUGGGAGGGUCACUUGAGCCCAGGAAUUCAAGACUGGGCAACAUAGUGAGACUGUCU